ACUGUUAAUUAAUUUAACAGCUAUCAGUUCAUAUAAAGACAUUUUAUACACUAUUUAUUUAAGUACUAAAUAUAAUAAGCCAAUCAGCCGGAAUCGUGGAGGAAGUGCGAGCCUAUUUUUUCGAGGCGGGAAUGUUUACGCUGCCGUCAUAUGGGUGACCCCCUUAAGCAUCAACAUUUUUUAAAGUUUGCGUAGAUCUGUACAGACCUUCAGAAAACGUAUUUUUCAGACGUGCAAAUUUAGAGCAAUGCUGGAUGAAGUAUAUCGUACGUAAAGUAGACUGUGUUGAGAAAAAAAUC